GUCUUUUCGAGGUAGGAGUCGACUCCUGUGAGGUAUGGUGCUGGGUGCAGAUGCAGUGUGGCUCUGGAUAGCACCUUAUGGACAGUUGUGUCCCCAAGGAAGGAUGAGAAUAGCUACUGAAGUCCUAAAGAGCAAGCCUAACUCAAGCCAUUGGCACACAGGCAUUAGACAGAAAGCUGGAAGUUGAAAUGGUGGAGUCCAACUUGCCUGGACCAGCUUAAUGGUUCUGCUCCUGGUAACGUUUUUAUCCAUGGAUGACUUGCUUGGGUAAGGACAUGAAGACAGUUCCUGUCAUACCUUUUAAAGGUAUGGAGAGUCGGCUUGACUACACUGUGUGGAGCAAGUUUUAAAGAAGCAAAGGACUCAGAAUUCAUGAUUGAAGAAAUGCAGGCAGACCUGUUAUCCUAAACUAGGGUUUUUAAUGACCACAACAAGCAAGCAUGCAGCUUACUGCUUGAAAGGGUCUUGCCUCACCCAAGCUAGAGUGCAGUGGCCUUUGAAGCUUACUACAGCCUCAAACUUCUGGGCUCAAGUGAUCCUCAGCCUCCCAGUGGUCUUUGUAGACUGCCUGAUGGAGUCUCAUGGCACAAGAAGAUUAAAACAGUGUCUCCAAUUUUAAUAAAUUUUUGCAAUCCAUCAAAAAAAAAAAAAAAAAA
rnacentral:lncRNA from 1 species